rnacentral:lncRNA from 1 species
UCUUUUUUAUUUUUUUCUUAUCCUCCUCCUCUAAGCCGCCUAUAAGUCCUCUCCCUCUAUGGCCAUCCUAUCCACCUCCAUCCUUUCUCACCGACAAUCCAUUUUUUCUCCUCCUCUUUCUCUUUUCCUUCUUCUCCUUAUCAUCCAUUUCCUCUAAGGCCGCUUAUGUGCCCUCUCCCUCCAUGGCGGUUCUCUUCACAUCCAUCAAUUUCUUGUUGGCGAUCCCUCCCCCUCCUUCCCUUUCUAGUUAUCUACUUUUCCUCCUCAUCUUUUUCCUUCUCCAAAUCACUCAUGAGCCCCACCCAUCCACGAUAGCCCCCUCUAUCUUUGUCGCUUCUUACUAGCAAUCCAUCCUUUCCCCUCUCUUUUCUCCUCACUCUCUUCUUCUCCUUGUUGUCUACUUUCUCUAAUGCCACUUAUGAGCCUUCUCCUUCCACAAUAGUUCUCUCCAUCUUCACCCAUUUCUUGCAGUAGCCCCUUCCGCUUCUCCUUCUCUUCCUCCUCACUGUCUUUUCCUCCUCUUCCUCCUUCAAUCACACCUAUGAGAUCUUUGAUGUUGUCUUUUCCAUCCACGUUGACCUCCACACCCCACUCUCUUCUUUUGUGGUGGCUCCCUUUAUUUUCAUUCCUUCUCAUCGGUGAUCUUUUUUAUAUGGGUAAGAAGUAUUUUUAUUCAUUUUGAGAAAAAACUAAUAUGAUUUAUUGG